AGUUUGAUCCUGGCUCAGGAUGAACGCUGGCGGCGUGCCUAACACAUGCAAGUCGAACGGGCGCGGCGUGCGGCAGGGGCCUCGGCCCCUGCGGCGCCGCGCGAGUGGCGGACGGGUGAGUAACGCGUGGGCAACCUGCCCUGUACUGGGGGAUAACACCUGGAAAUAGGUGCUAAUACCGCAUAAGCGCGGCGUGCCGCAUGGCAUGGCGCGGAAAACCCCGGUGGUACAGGAUGGGCCCGCGUCUGAUUAGCUGGUUGGCAGGGUAACGGCCUACCAAGGCGACGAUCAGUAGCCGGCCUGAGAGGGUGGACGGCCACACUGGGACUGAGACACGGCCCAGACUCCUACGGGAGGCAGCAGUGGGGAAUAUUGCACAAUGGGGGAAACCCUGAUGCAGCAACGCCGCGUGAGUGAAGAAGUCAUUCGUGAUGUAAAGCUCUAUCAGCAGGGAAGAAAAUGACGGUACCUGAGUAAGAAGCCCCGGCUAACUACGUG
rnacentral:rRNA from 1 species